rnacentral:misc_RNA from 1 species
GAAAUGCGAUAAGUAAUGUGAAUUGCAGAAUUCAGUGAAUCAUCGAAUCUUUGAACGCACAUUGCGCCCCCUGGCAUUCCGGGGGGCAUGCCUGUUCGAGCGUCAUUAACACCACUCAAGCUCUGCUUGGUCCUGGGCCGCGCCAGCAAUGGCUGUCCCCAAACUCAGUGGCGGCACCGCUAGGUCCCGAGCGUAGUACAUCUCUCGCUGCGGGCGCUGGCGGCUGGCGACCAGCAACCCCAACUCACACCAGGUUGACCUCGGAUCAGGUAGGAAUACCCGCUGAACUUAA